rnacentral:rRNA from 1 species
UACAGAGGGUGCAAGCGUUAAUCGGAGUUACUGGGCGUAAAGGGCGCGUAGGCGGUUAUACAAGUGAGAUGUGAAGUCCCCGGGCUUAACCUGGGAACUGCAUUUUAGACUGUAUAACUGGAGUACUGUAGAGGGCAGUGGAAUUUCCGGUGUAGCGGUGAAAUGCGUAGAGAUCGGAAGGAACAUCAGUGGCGAAGGCGACUGUCUGGACAGAUACUGACGCUGAGGCGCGAAAGCGUGGGGAGCAAACAGG